GCCUCGCUCCCCUUAUCCGUUUAUAUCACCACAAUACCAGCGAUUAGCAUAGCACCUCUCUCUUUCUUUUUAUCUAUCUAUCUCUUUGAAGUCUUUGAAGCUUUGAACUUUCAGUGUCUUCCAUAACUGAUAUGGCCCUUUUAUGGAUUUUAGAGUUUAUAGAGUGAUUUGAAUGAAAAAGAAACGAAUAGUUCAGUAGCACAAGAAGUGGAGUAUGUCUUGUCUUCUGCCGCAGUUUAAGUGCCAACCAGACACUCUCUCUAUCCAUUUCAAAACUCACUACAUUCAAAGUUCCAACUUUAGCCAAUCUCUUAACUCAUAGACGUCGUCCUUUCAAUGAGAAAUAGAAUACUUGUGUCCUUGUGUUUAUGGGUUGAUAUCCAAUCGCAAAUGCUUUGCUUCAUCCGAACUAAAGUGGUGUACUUUGGUUGGUGUUUUUGGAUGCUAUUCAUUUCCAGAAUUCCUCAUUUCAACAAGAAUCGAGAUCGAUAAAUUUUGAUUAUGUGUAUUAUCUGAAUGGCACUCUCUCGCAUGCCUUUGUUUGAACCAGCUCUGAAAUGGGUGUCUAGUAUUGUGAGAGUUAUUUGAGUUCUGCGGAUCCUUCACUAUUCUCAUCGUUAUUCAACUGAUCUCCGUGUGUGUAUGUGUGUAAUUUAUUUAAAUUAUGCCUGAUGCAAGAGGGAGUUCUCUCAUAUUCUGUUAUUCUCUUCUAAACUGCAUAAUGAGGCACUGUGGCUUGUAAAAAGUUGUAAAUAAUGGUAUGUGACUUGUUAAAAUUUAUAGUUGAUAGUAGUAUAUUGGGAGCAUUAUUAUUCAUUGAGUUUACUGUACUUCACUAGACAACUCAAAAUUCAGUUUUUUCAACUACAUCAAACUAUCUUUCUAGUUGUUGAAGAGUUUAUCGGCACUCAAUUGUGGUAUUAGUUGUUGCUUCAUUCAACAGAUGUAUGGUUAACAAUAGGGCAGGCAUAUGCUUGGACAUUGGUGUGUGUAGAUUGUCAAGGAUAUGUGUGAGCAGCACUUUUUACUCUCCAUGAGCCAGUUUUACUAUUCUAGUAUUCUUCUAGUAAAAAUCACACUAAUUCUUAAAUCAGGGAUGGGCUAGCAGCCACUGGAAUAGCAAAUAGGCAACUUUAUCGGCACUUCUUUUGUGAAACCACCAGAUAUUGUCUCAUUUCUAUUGCAAGUGUCACAAAAUUCAAAUCAUCUGGACUUCCCUUCUUUUCUCAAAAUGUGCUCCUUCAUAAUGGUUGCAUCUUUCUCCAAUUGGGAAACCUCUUGUUUUGGGCUGAAACCAAUUGAUU
rnacentral:misc_RNA from 1 species